rnacentral:snoRNA from 1 species
AUCAGUCAGGAAUGUGAGGCUAUACUAUCCUCAGUUUGCUGAUCUAUGAACAUCUGAAUUAUUAGUACCCUUACCCU